UCGAGUUAGGGUCCUUCGGGGCCCCAUCUCCAACCCUGUGUCUACCUUACCAUGUUGCUUCGGCGGGCCCGUUGGGCAACCAACCGCAGGAGGGUCGUUUAUUCGCUCUCUGGCCCGUGCCCGUCGAUGGCCAAACCUUCAAACUCUUGACAAACUGUGUCGUCUAAGUACCAAACAAAAUAAGCAA
rnacentral:misc_RNA from 1 species